CAAGUGCUAGGCGCGCUCACCUUUCUUCCCUGCCCCUCAGUAUCCAGACUCAGGCUGCGCGGUCAGUUAGGGCGGGAAGCCGAGCAGCAGCACAAGCCCAAGCCGUGGGCAGUCAGAGACCCACCGCCUGGGACCCAGGAGUCUGAGCCGAGCCCAGAGGACGCCCAACCUACCCGAGCCACAGGGCGGCGAAGCAGCAGGUGUCUGGACAGCCAGGCAGCCGAGCGGCUGGACAGCGGGGAGGCCCUGGGGACUGACCGGCCCCGCCCCGGCCCGGCCCCGCCCCGGCCCCGGCCCCCUGCCCUGCUCCCGCCUCCGGCCCCCGGCUCCCGCCUGGCUCCGGCUCCCUCCGGCCGCAGCUGCCCGGCCGGCUCAGCGCACCCCGCCUGCGGUCCCGCCGGCCCUCCCCGUCGCGUUGGUGGCGGCGGCGACCGGAACAGGCCCGCCCGCAGCCUCCGAGGUGCCGUGCCCUACAGCGCUGGAGGGAGUUCAGAUGAACUGAGGAAAAUCCAGGUGUUGUGUUGGGUUCAUGGAUGCAGAAGAUAUACUACUAAAAGAAAAGAAAAGCAUGAUCCUUCCUUCAGACAUGUGAAAAAGAUAGAGUUCCCAGAAGACUUCAUCAGCAGGAAAGAAGCUCUAAUAAUGUGGAAUAGAAAUACCAGAAGACUCCUAUCAGGUCAGCUCGCUGCAACAAAAUACCACAAGCUGAGUGGCUUAAAGAGCAGAAAUUUGUUUUUUACCUUUCUGAAGGCUGGAAGUCCAAGAUUGAGGUUGUUGGCAGAUUUGGUUUGUGGUGAAAGUUAUUUUCCUGGCUGGCAGAUGGCCACCUUUUUGCUGUGUCUUCACAAGAUAAAGAAAUAG
rnacentral:lncRNA from 1 species